rnacentral:rRNA from 1 species
AGUGAACGCUGGCGGUAGGCCUAACACAUGCAAGUCGAACGGCAGCACAGUAAGAGCUUGCUCUUACGGGUGGCGAGUGGCGGACGGGUGAGGAAUACAUCGGAAUCUACUUUUUCGUGGGGGAUAACGUAGGGAAACUUACGCUAAUACCGCAUACGUUCUACGGGUGAAAGCAGGGGAUCUUCGGACCUUGCGCGAUUGUAUGAGCCGAUGUCGGAUUAGCUAGUUGGCGGGGUAAAGGCCCACCAAGGCGACGAUCCGUAGCUGGUCUGAGAGGAUGAUCGGCCACACUGGAACUGAGACACGGUCCAGACUCCUACGGGAGGCAGCAGUGGGGAAUAUUGGACAAAGGGCGAAAGCCUGAUCCAGCCAUACCGCGUGGGUGAAGAAGGCCUUCGGGUUGUAAAGCCCUGUUGUUGGGAAAGAAAAGCAGCAGAUUAAUACCCCGCUGUUCUGACGGUACCCAAAGAAUAAGCACCGGCUAACUUCGUG